ACACUGUCUCCGAAAAAAAAAAAAAAAAAUGUAGCCAGGUGUGAUGGUGCACACCUGUGGUCCUACCUGCUCCAGAGGCCGAGGGGGGAGGAUCAGUUGACCUUAGGAAUUAGAGGCUGCAAUGAGCCGAGAUUGCACCACUGCACUCCAGCCUGGGUGACAGAGUGAGACCCUCUCAAAAAAAAAAAAAAAAAAGAGUACUAGGAGAACAGCACUGAAAGAUGUUAGAGACUUUUAGAGACUUGGAUGCAGUCAGCCUGGGCUCAGCUCAGUGUGUCACUAGCUACGGGACAUUAGGGCAGGUACUUAACUUUCUGAACUUCAGUUACUCGUUGAUAAACAGAAAACUAAUUGCACAAUAGAGCACAAGGAAGCUGCUGCAGUUAGCACCGUAUCUGGGGCCUCCUUCGAGGUCAGGGAUGUUGGUGCAUCGGAUUCUAUUCGUUGAUGAUAGGAAUUCAUAGCCCCUGUCAGACCUCUACCCAGAUUCUAAUUAAUGAGAUAGAAUUAAUCAAAAACCCAAGCUUUGCUGAGGUCUAGAAAGAAAAUUCACAAACUGCAUAGGGCUUCCCUCAAAGAGCAACAAAUCACAGAAGCGUCUGCAGAGCAAGGCCAAGUGUUCACCGUGUUGAAUGCCCUUCAGUGCUUUCCAUCUUCCAUAGAUUGUAGGAUAGUGUGUCUUCCAAGAUGUGUGCUCACAUCUGAUCACCGCAGAAAUCAUUCAAACAUCAGCUGGACAACAUUAGCAAGAAGCCUGCAAACUCCGGCUCCCUGACGCUUCAGCCAGGCUCCUGUUUCUCUUUCUGAUUUCCUAACAAUGCACAGGCCCUGCCCUCAGGGUACCCACCCACUGCCUCCGAGUGAUGGGCACUCCCAGACAAGACCCAGGCUUUCCUCCCCGCGGCGCCAGCCUGGGAAAAGCAGACAGAGCUCGGCCCCGAUGGCCCCUCCGCCGGCUCCCCCAGCCCUUCCCUUCCCUGGCACCAAAACAGAUGACUUCAUCCGAGGGACACAGCCCCUAUCAGCCAGCCAGGCCUCCGGAACGGGAGCAGAAGGGAGCGCGGAGGCUGGCCUCUGCUCUGGUUACUUUGGCACAGGAGGAGGCUCUGUGGAGUGUCAGCCACAGCCUUCAAAUCAGAGAAGCAUGGCCUUGAUCCAGGACCCCUGCCACCCGGGGCCAGCGCUGGCCCUGCACGUGGCCGCCUCUCUCAGCCUGACCUCCUCCCUCCUCCACACUGCGGUGGGGUGCACAGUAGCUGAGUUAGAGGCUACUACACAGGCGGCAGAGGAGCCUCCCUUUCUGAGUCCCUGCUCUCCAUCCUCAGCCUGCUGACCAUAGUCCAUUCACUGGGUCCAUGUUGAGAGUCUCAGUCAUUUUUAAUCCAGAGUGGGAAUUCAAGCCUCAAUCCCUGUCUAGAUUCGGGGUCCACUCUCCUGCUCCUCGGCCCCCUUCCUUCAGGGUACUGUGUGUGACUAUGGAGGGGCCCGCAGGGAGGGCGGGAAGAGUCGUUCAGGCAGGCAAUGGCCUCAGGGAAGCAGUCACAUCCCGCCUGGGCACGUCACUGCGCUGGUGGCCUCACUGUUGGUCUUUUCCAGUCUGGUCCAAUGCUUUAAGGGUGCUGGUUGCUUCCCUGGCUGGAAUGCAGUGCACGCGGUCACGGGAAAGAGGGCGCGCUGGAGCUGGGCCUGCGUCUCCCACAGCCUUGUGGGCUGGAGCCAAGCAGGUCACCUAACCUCGCCAGACCUCAGUGGUCUCAUCUGUAAAACGGGGACGUGAUUGUCACCAUCUCAGCGCACCAUUGUAAGAAUUACUACUUUGUGCCCAGUAUGUAGUGGUGGAAAUCAGACGAGACCAUCCGAGCGGGCGGCUUCACACUCUGCAAGGCCUGCCGCGGCCUCCAGGUUUCCAGGCAGGGCCUCCCAGGCUCCAGCCUCUCUCCAACCCUGGAUAUGGGACAAGGAGCAACUUGAUCCCCAGCCUCAGAUCAAGAACUUCCCGCCAUCCUGAGGAAGCAGAGCCCCACUCACCACUCCAGACGCCCUUCCCCAUAACUUCGCUGACAUGCAGAGGAAAUGACGGCUGGCACAGUGGCUCGCGCCUGGGAUCCCAGCACUUUCGGAGGCCAAAGCAGGAGGAUCACUUGAGGCCAGGAGUUUGAGACCAGCCUGGGCAACAUAGUAAGACCCUGUCUCUUGCACCACAAGAAGCGGGAGAGAGACCAUCUGGAAUGGCAGUGGCGGGGUGGGCAGGAGGCUUCCCGAGACCGCGAGGUCCUCGGAGGCGAGAACGGGGCCUCUUUGUAUUCUCCAGAGCUAGCAGAGUCCCGGGAACCUCCUAAACCACUGAACAAGAGGCACGGCGUAAGUCCUGAGCGGUGUGGGAGAGGAGGGGUGCAGCGGAGGAAGAGGGAGGCCUUGUUUUCAGGCACCAGCCUGCCCUUGUGCCCCGGGAAUGGAAGAAAGGAAGGAAAGAGGUCUGCAAACCCGGCUGGCCACGCCGCAGACUGAGCCGCCGGCAUCCCCGCUUCCUAGCACGACACCUUGGGCCCCCACGGUUGCUCUAAUGGCUCUGAUUUGCCAUCAUAGCCCUGGCGAUUCUGGGCACCGGCCUGGCCAGUGUAUCCCCAUCACUGCCGCCGCCAUGAGCUUCACCGCCUCCCGGGCCCCAGGAGCGCCUCUUGCCAUCACUGUCUGCCCAUUGGGUCUGCUCAGAGCUGUGCACCCCCUGCCAGGCCCCACCCAGAAGAGUCAGCUUCGCAGAGGCUUGGGGGUGGGGGUUGGGGGGACGGAGAGGCUGCAGACAAGCUGUCGGGCUGGGUAUUAUUGUCCAGACCUGAGAGGCCACUUAUCUGGGCCGCCCACACAGGGAAGUGAGAUAGUCCAGCAGGACUUUUCCCACUAAUAUGCUUAUCUUGACUGGAAAGAAUACGGUGUUUGUGUGUGAAGACGUGCGUGUGUGAUUUUGCAAACCCUGUGUGUGUGUCUAUGUGAGUGUUUUCAUCCCAUAACUUCUGACCACACAGCUAUACAUUGGGGCCGUUUUACGGCUUGAAUGCCACGUAUGAGUCUGUGAAUCGUGUCUGCCUGGGGUCUGCUGAAGGAGGAGACGGCCAGAAGGGAGACAAGGGGUGGAGGAUGCUAAGGAGAAAGACAAAAUCAGAGGGAAUCCCUUUAAACAAGGGAAAACGACUAGUUUUGGUAAAAGAUGACGCCGUGGGUGUUUUCAUACACUGAUUAUGAGGGCGUGUAUUGAUAUAGCCCUUACAGAGAGCAAUCUGUAAACGUUAAAAUAUUGAAAUGUUAAGUGUGUCUUCUCUUGAUUGAAGUCUACCUUCCAUAGCUUCCCAAGAGAAAUGCUUGCAUCCAUCCACGCAGAAAUAUGUACAAGCAUGCACAUGCAGAAUUAUCUGUAGUGAAGAUUAUAAACAAUCUAAUGUUAAUGGACAAGGCUGUGGGUAAACAUAUUAUAGUAUUUUGUUGUUGUUUUUAUGUCUUUCCUUUUUUUUUUUCUUUUUUUCUUGUCUCUGAUGUUUCCUUAGAUGAAUUAUAUUAUAGCAUGGUAUAACAAUGUAUCAGUCAGAAAAAACAAGAAGUCUCUACACCAAAAUGAAAAGAUUCCCCAAAUAUGAAAGUUUUUUAAAAUUGUAGAAUAUAUAUGGAUUAUACCAUAUAAGCAACAGAAAAAAAAAUGUAUGUAGUCUAUUAAUUUGACUGUUUCAGGUACCUCAUGUAAGCAGAAUUAUCCAGUAUUUGUCCUGCAUCUGGCUUCUUUCACUUGGCAUAACGUCCUCAAGGUUCAUCCAUGUUACAGUAUGUAUCAGAAUUUCCUUCCUUUUUUAAGGCAGUAUAAUAUUCCAUUAUACAUAUAUUCUACAUUUAGUCUAUUUAUUCAUCCAUGGAUGGAUAUUUGAAUUGUUUGGACCAAUGUUUAAGUGAAUUUCUCAGCUUAGGUUUUGGUUUAUUAUAUGAGAGAGAUUUUUUUCCCCACCAAGAGGCCUAAGCAAAUCAAGUCUCCCUCACAAGCAGCUAGGAUUUGUCUGGUCCUCCAUUCACUGAGCAAGCAGCUUUUCAAGGGUCCUCACUUUUGCAUGAAUCUCAGAUCCAGCUCCCCUUUCUUAGAAGCCUAAGGCCUCAUCACCUGUCCCCGUGAGAGUGUUAAAAUCGAAGCCUCUGGCCCAUAGGAACGAGUUCCUGGUCCUGCGGCCAUUCCUCAGGUCCCACACCCAGGCUCUCACGCUCGCCGCUCUGCCUUUCCAUUCCUCUUCAUCCCUGCCAUCUGGGAUUCCCCUUUCUCGCUUUGAAGAAAUGGUUUUCAAUCUUGGCUCAUGUUUACAACCAACUGGGGACAUUUUUCUAAAUCCCAGAACACAACCCAGACCGAUUACAUGCAAAUCUCUGGCAUAAAAAGUGAGGUUUUAAAGAUGUACUAUGCAAAUAAUAGUAUAGUAGGGACCUGGAUGUGGAAAAACUCAUAAAGGUAUGACUUGAAUUAUCAAAAUAUUGUGAGUGCUGCUCCAGCUCUGCUGCCCGUGUUAGGUGGUGGCUUCUGGAUUGUGUUCUAACAGUGGCAGUUUGUGUUUGUGAUCAUUUCUAGGCAGCAAUUUUAAUCUGGAAAUAAAAUGAUCAUCUUGGCUUUC